rnacentral:hammerhead_ribozyme from 1 species
GCACUGCUGAGUAGUCCCAUAAUAGGACGAAACGGCCGUCCAGCGC